GAUGAACGCUGGCGGCGUGCCUAAUACAUGCAAGUCGAGCGAACGGACGAGAAGCUUGCUUCUCUGAUGUUAGCGGCGGACGGGUGAGUAACACGUGGAUAACCUACCUAUAAGACUGGGAUAACUUCGGGAAACCGUAGCUAAUACCGGAUAAUAUUUUGAACCGCUUGGUUCAAAAGUGAAAGACGGUCUUGCUGUCACUUAUAGAUGGAUCCGCGCUGCAUUAGCUAGUUGGUAAGGUAACGGCUUACCAAGGCAACGAUGCAUAGCCGACCUGAGAGGGUGAUCGGCCACACUGGAACUGAGACACGGUCCAGACUCCUACGGGAGGCAGCAGUAGGGAAUCUUCCGCAAUGGGCGAAAGCCUGACGGAGCAACGCCGCGUGAGUGAUGAAGGUCUUCGGAUCGUAAAACUCUGUUAUUAGGGAAGAACAUAUGUGUAAGUAACUGUGCACAUCUUGACGGUACCUAAUCAGAAAGCCACGGCUAACUACGUG
rnacentral:rRNA from 1 species